rnacentral:misc_RNA from 1 species
GCUCCGUAGGUGAACCUGCGGAGGGAUCAUUACAGAGUUCAUGCCCUCCGGGUAGAUCUCCCACCCAUUGCUAUAACUACUCUCGUUGCUUUGGCGGGCCGCUGGGCCCUGCCCGGCCGCCGGCCCCGGCUGGCGCGUGCCCGCCAGAGACCUCACAGACUCUGAAUGUUAGUGUCGUCCGAGUAACUAUACAAUCGUUAAAACUUUCAACAACGGAUCUCUUGGUUCUG